GACGUAGGGCGCAAGCGUUGUCCGGAUUUAUUGGGCGUAAAGAGCUCGUAGGCGGCUUGUUGCGUCGUCCGUGAAAACCUGUGGCUCAACUACAGGCUUGCGGUCGAUACGGGCGGGCUGGAGUUCGGUAGGGGAGACUGGAAUUCCUGGUGUAGCGGUGAAAUGCGCAGAUAUCGAGAGGAACACCUGCGGCGAAGGCGGGUUGCUGGGCCGACACUGACGCUGAUGCGCGAAAGCCAGGGGAGCGAACGGG
rnacentral:rRNA from 1 species